rnacentral:snoRNA from 1 species
AUCCCAUGAUGAGAACAGGCGGCGACAUAUUCCUGCAGCCUUUCCCAUGCUUCCGGGAUCAUUUCAUCUUUCGUCUGCUGGAAGCUGGAUAUCCUUCCACAAAGGGC